UUCUCACCGCCUCCCCUUCUCUUUCUUAUUCUCAGUUCUCUCAACUGAAAAAUGCUAGCAGCAAUUCUGAAAGAAAGUCAUAUCUUCUUCGGAGUUCAGACCAAAAUCUUCUUCAUAUUAAGUUGAACUGUUGAAGAUUCGAACUGCUGCACUAAGUAGAAGCACUUGUUCAUUUGCUGUUUACUUCAGAUCUGAAAGAGUGAAAGGUCCAAUUAGGGAUUCAGUAAGGGCUACGAUUAUGUUAAUGUCUAAACUUUCAAGAGUUGGGCUUUUGUUGUUUAAAGAGCUCUCUAGAGGGAAAUCCAGAGCCAUAACUGGAGCAGGAUAUACACAGACGCCUUUUAGCCAAUACUUGCAAACGCUG